rnacentral:rRNA from 1 species
AGAAUCAACGCUUGGCGGCGUGCCUAACACAUGCAAGUUCGCACGAGAAAGGGGAGCAAUCCCUGAGUACAGUGGCGCACGGGUGAGUAACACGUGAAUCAUCUACCUCCGAGUGGGAAUAACUGAGAGAAAUCUUAGCUAAUACCGCAUAACACUUACGAGUCAAAGCAGCAAUGCGCUUGGAGAGGAGUUCGCGGCAGAUUAGUUAGUUGGCGGGUAAUGGCCCACCAAGACGAUGAUCGGUA